GUAUAGCUCAGUCGGUAGAGCGGCGGUCUCCAAAACCGUAGGUCGGGGGUUCAAGUCCUCCUGCGC
rnacentral:tRNA from 1 species